UUCUCUGCAGCGUACUGUGAGUUUUUCUCUGAAAAUGCAAUUUGCUCAGGUGGUUUGCUGGGGUUUCCUUCUACCAGCUUGUACUGUAAGGUCUGCCGUGGCUAUGACACAUAGAACUGUGUCUUAAUAAGGUCUCAAAGUCAUCUCAACAAAUAGGUGAACAUGCUAUGUCUCUGCUACUGUCAAGGCCUGGUUACCUUCUUAUUGGUGCCUGUUCAAGUGUUCUUCAUUACUUAUACUCUGAGGCCGCACAAUGAGGGCAUGUGCUGACCAGCUAGUGGGGGUGUUUACUAGCAUUUUCAACCUUUCACUACAACUCGCCACCGUCCCCACCUGUCUUAAAACUUCUACAAUCAUCCCUGUGCCCAAAAACUCUGCAGUGAAAUGCCUCAAUUACUA